rnacentral:rRNA from 1 species
GGGCGGGCGGUUGCUAUACAUGCAGUCGAACGCGUUGGCCCAAUUGAUUGAUGGUGCUUGCACCUGAUUGAUUUUGGUCGCCAACGAGUGGCGGACGGGUGAGUAACACGUAGGUAACCUGCCCAGAAGCGGGGGACAACAUUUGGAAACAGAUGCUAAUACCGCAUAACAACGUUGUUCGCAUGAACAACGCUUAAAAGAUGGCUUCUCGCUAUCACUUCUGGAUGGACCUGCGGUGCAUUAGCUUGUUGGUGGGGUAACGGCCUACCAAGGCGAUGAUGCAUAGCCGAGUUGAGAGACUGAUCGGCCACAAUGGGACUGAGACACGGCCCAUACUCCUACGGGAGGCAGCAGUAGGGAAUCUUCCACAAUGGGCGCAAGCCUGAUGGAGCAACACCGCGUGAGUGAAGAAGGGUUUCGGCUCGUAAAGCUCUGUUGUUAAAGAAGAACACGUAUGAGAGUAACUGUUCAUACGUUGACGGUAUUUAACCAGAAAGUCACGGCUAACUACGUGCCAGCAGCCGCGGUAAUACGUAGGUGGCAAGCGUUAUCCGGAUUUAUUGGGCGUAAAGAGAGUGCAGGCGGUUUUCUAAGUCUGAUGUGAAAGCCUUCGGCUUAACCGGAGAAGUGCAUCGGAAACUGGAUAACUUGAGUGCAGAAGAGGGUAGUGGAACUCCAUGUGUAGCGGUGGAAUGCGUAGAUAUAUGGAAGAACACCAGUGGCGAAGGCGGCUACCUGGUCUGCAACUGACGCUGAGACUCGAAAGCAUGGGUAGCGAACAGGAUUAGAUACCCUGGUAGUCCAUGCCGUAAACGAUGAGUGCUAGGUGUUGGAGGGUUUCCGCCCUUCAGUGCCGGAGCUAACGCAUUAAGCACUCCGCCUGGGGAGUACGACCGCAAGGUUGAAACUCAAAGGAAUUGACGGGGGCCCGCACAAGCGGUGGAGCAUGUGGUUUAAUUCGAAGCUACGCGAAGAACCUUACCAGGUCUUGACAUCUUGCGCCAACCCUAGAG